rnacentral:lncRNA from 12 species
GUAUGUAUGGACAGCCCCAGAGAGCUCCAUCAGGGCGUUUCCAUCAGGCUCCCAAACCAACCCGGCUCCUCUCACCCCAUGUUGAGAAGACUGUGGGUCAGGCUGUUUGUCUCUGGGGCACAUUCCAGAAGGAGCAGAGCCUCCCAUGCCAAGCGGGACUCUGUGGUGCCCUUGCAGACAUUCAAGAAUGACCAGAUAUUCAAUCCUCUGUGGACAACCUCCCAGCAUCCCAUAAUUUGAAGCUCCACAUAGUGGUAUGCUGCUCAUAUUGUAGAAAUGUACCUGCAGUGAAGACCAGCAGUUGAGCUUUACAGCUUAUAGAAUCUAAGAUGCAAUCAACUGGAAGAUGAACCACUAUUUUAUGUACCACUGAGAAAGAAAAAAAUGCUGCCCGCUAAACUGUGUUGGCUAUGCCCUGAUUUCAGCAACGGUAUGGUGUGUAUUUCAGACUCAGUGAACUAAAGUAGCUGCUCCCCUAUCUCUGACAAGUGGCUGAAGGAGCCAAGAGCCGCUGGGUUUUCAGGUCACUGCUCUCUGGUUUAGAGAGAACAUUCAACAUGGGUGGUGGAUGAAGUGCAGCCUUCCAUGCACACUGCCUUGAUGAGCCACGGGUCACCUGGGCACUGCUACAUCUUGCAGACGGAAGACAUAACAGAGCUUGAGACAUUCAGGAGAAAAGCUCUGCUCUGCUACCUAACCUGGGAAGACAAGAGGACCCAUCUGAGUGGGGAGAGUCUAGGCAUACUCUGCUCCUGAGAUCUAGCGCACCUGGAAGGCCCAUGAUUGGAAGGGGAGGAGGUGAGCAAGGGAUGAAAAGCCACCUCCGACAGCCUCCGGAGUGGAGUAGUCCACCGUAGGAAAUUCAUCCAGGCUGUGCUGCCGGGAGGCAGGCAGGACCUGGGGAGCCUGGAGCCCAGCCGGCUAUCAAAGCAGGGGGCGGGGAGAGCUUUGAAAGACAUGAAAGGCUGAGUCUCGUGCCUGAUUGCAUGAGGAGUGAAAAGGAGUCAGAAAAGAGCCCAGUGGUUAGAGGAGGGGACAGAGGGGCACCACUGAGAGAUAGGAGAACUAGGGGAGCAGGCUGGGGGGUGUAGUUGGGGUUGAGCUGAGUUUAUGACCAGGAGGGUUGCCCGAUGGAAAAUUCCAGAAAUGAACAGUGGAGGCUGUGAGGAGGCUGUGUCUGUAGCCGAGUGGAGACAGGGUGUCUGAGCCUGGCAGGGGCAGGAGAAAAGACCAGAAAGAA